UUGAGUUGCAAAGUCUGUAUUCAGCUGAAUGAAUCUCUAGGGUCAUAAACACUGAUGUCCCUCUUUCUUUUUCCUUUUUUGUAGUUUGCAAUAAGGUGGAACUCUUACUUCCAAGAUACUGGCUGAAAAAUGGAGUUUA
rnacentral:lncRNA from 1 species